AGGUUAUUUUUUUAUAGGCAAAUGGUGGAUGCCUUGGGACCAGACGCGAUGAAGGACGUGGCGUAGCUGCGAUAAGCCUCGGGAAGGUGUUAGCAACCUGUGAACCGGGGAUUUCCGAAUGGGGAAACCUAAUUUCGUUUAAACGAAAUUGUCGAAGUUAAAUUCGAUGCGAACCCGCUGAAGUGAAACAUCUCAGUAGGCGGAGGAAAAGAAAACAAAAGUGAUUCCCUAAGUAGCGGCGAGCGAAAGGGGAGAAGCCCAAAAUCAUUCGCGCUUUGCGUGAAUGGUGGUUGUAAGGGGAUAACGUCUAUUCAAUUAGAGGGAGUUAUAAAUAAUUUAAUUAGCUGAACUUCUCUGGAAAGAGAGACCGCAGACGGUGAUAGUCCGGUAAGUGAAAAUUAAAUUAUGCUCCUUGUUAUCUUUCUUGAGUACUGUCGAAUCAAGAUAAGUCGGCAGGAAUCCAGCGGGACUACCCGCUAAGGCUAAAUACAAUCUGGUCACCGAUAGUGAACUAGUACCGUGAGGGAAAGGUGAAAAGUAGUCCGGUAAGGACGAUGAAAUAGAAUCUGAAACCAUUAUGCCUACAAGGAGUCAGAGCUGAUAUUUAUAUCAGUGAUGGCGUGCUUUUUGCAGAACGAGCCAACGAGUCUCUUUUACCAAUUUGUCUAAGCGCUUACGGCGCGGAGGCACAGGGAAACCAAGUCUUAAUAGGGCGAAUAUAAUUGGUGGAGGAGGACCCGAAGCCAGACGAGCUUGCCAUGGCCAGGAUGAAGCUUUCAGAAAUGAAAGUGGAGGUCCGAACCCGUUUGUCGUGCAAUUCAUUGGGAUGAGCUGUGGUAAGGAGUGAAAAGCUAAUCGAGUUUGGUAAUAGCUGGUUCUUCCCGAAAUAGUUUUAGGACUAGCCUCUCUGCUCAGUAUUUUGGAGGUAGAGCACUGAAAGGGAUGCUGCGGCUUCGGCUAGGCAUUUCUAUCAAACUCCGAAUGCCAAAAUAUAUACAGAGGGAGUCAGACAGUGGGAGCGAAGUUCCAUUGUCGCGAGGGAAACAGCCCAGAUCGUCAUCUAAGGUCCCUAAAUCUAAACUAAGUGUUAGUAAGGAGGUGAAAUUUCUCAGAUAGCUAGGAGGUUAGCUUAGAAGCAGCUAUCCUUUAAAAAGUGCGUAACAGCUUACUAGUUAAGAGAUUUUGCGCCGAAGAUUCCCGGGACUAAAGUUUAGUACCGAAGAUACGACUUGGUAUUUUUAAUACCAGGGGUAGGGAAGCGUCCUUAUUGCGCUGAAGCUGAACCGUGAGGUUCUGUGGAGCGAUGAGGAGUGAGAAUGUUGGCAUAAGUAACCACAAUUGAAGUGAGAUUCUUCAACACCGUAAAUCCAAGGUUUCCUUGGCAAUGUAGAUCAGCCAAGGGUUAGGCGGGCCUUAGGAGAAGCCGAAAGGUUUAUCUGAUGGACAGCCGGUUAAUAUUCCGGCCCUCUAACAUUUUUCUGAAGGGUGACGCGAUUUAGUAGCUUGAGCGGAUUAUUGGAUUUCCGUCGACUAUUUAAGGGGCAACCCAAGAAUAGGAGCGUAGCUUAUCCUCGGAUGAGUUAAGUCAAGUGAGCAAGUCGACAAGAAAAGCCCGCAAGGCUAAGAAUGUUGGAUCCGUACUAAAACCGACACAGGUGGAUGGGCACAAGUGUGCCAAGGUGAACAAGUGAAAGAUCCUGAAGGAACUCGGCAAAAAAGUGAUCGUAACUUAGGAAUAAGAUCUGCCUUUCUUUGCAAGAAGAAAGGCCGCAGCGAGCGUUUCUCUAGCGACUGUUUAUCAAAAACACAGGUCCCUGCUAAUUCGUAAGAGGAAGUAUAGGGGCUGAGGCCUGACCAGUGCUGGAGUGUUAAAAGUGGCGGUUGCCUCGCUCUUGUUUCAUGAAACGAUCCUGAGUUCUUGUAAGUAGUUUGAUUAGUUAAGAUAAUAAUAAUUUAAUGUGUCUUUUUCAAAAAUAGGUAAGAUAUAUUGCAAUAUUAAGGAACUCAGAGAUUGCGUUCGUGAAUCGAGAGCGGGGCAGCUGACUGCUCCAAGCCUCCGGUGAACGUCCGCGGUAACUCUGACCGUGUUAAAGUAGCGUAAUCCCUUGUCGGGUAAGUUCCGACCCGCAUGAAAGGCUUAACGACUGGAGAACUGUCUCCAGGAUCUGCUUGGUGAAAUUGCAGUAGAGGUGAAAAUGCCUCUUACCUGUGGCUAGACAAUAAGACCCCGGGAGCUUUACUAUAUCCUGGCAUUGAAUUUUGAUAUUAAUUGCGUAGCGUAGGAGGGAGACUUUGAAGCUAUCUUUUCGGAGAUAGUGGAGUCGCCAAUGAAACACCUCUCUUUUAAUGUUAAGGUUCUAACUUUGUUACCUGAGGAGGGUAGCAGAAGACAGUGCUUGGUUGGUAGUUUAAGUGGGGCGCUUUUCUCCUAAAAAGUAACGGAGAAGCUUAAAGGUUGGCUAGAUCCGGAUGGAAAUCGGAUUGGUCCUGUAAAGGGAUAAGCCAGCUUGACUGCAAGACGGGUAUGUCGCGCAGAUGCGAAAGCAGAACUUAGUGAACCGACCAUGGUUCGUAGGACCGUGGGAGAUCAUCAGAUAAAAGUUACCCCGGGGAUAACAGGCUGGUAGUGCCCAAGAGUCCAUAUCAACGGCACUGUUCGGCACCUUAACAUAUCGGGGUGCAUUAACAGCAAUGUUAUUUUAAAAAAAUUGGCUUAUAACGGUAGACUCCAUAGUGAAAAUCAGCUAUAACAUAAUCAUUAUGGACAAUACCGUGGGAAGUCUAACACAAUUACAAAAAUCAUUGAUUAUAGGUUCGGUUUUAGGUGACGGGCAUAUUAGAAUUAUGCCUGGGCGCAAAGAUGCUUUUUUAGAAAUAAAUCAUUUCCUAAAAGCAAAAGAUUAUGUAGAUUGGAAAUAUUCUGUACUAAAGAAUAUUUGCGAUUCCGAACCUAAGGAAAGGGAAACCAAUGAAGGUAGAAUAGCUUAUUGUUUUUUUACUAAACAAGAUAAAGAAAUUACAGAAAUAUAUAAUCUCCUUUAUCAAGAUGGUAAAAAAAUAAUACCAAAAGAAUUAGAAAUUAAUCCAAUCGUUUUAGCCGUAUGGCUUAUGGACGAUGGAAGCAAAUCUAAUGAUAACAUCUAUCUAAACACACAACAAUUUAGUAUGCUUGAUCAAAAAAGAUUAUUGCAUCAGUUGCGUCAAAUUGGAUUGAAAGCAAGAUUAAAUCGAGAUAAAAAAUACUAUCGAAUUAGAUUUCUAAAAGAAAGUAUUCCUAAAUUGAUUGAAAUUGUUGGUCCUCAUAUAAUUCCGUCAAUGAGAUAUAAAAUUGAGUUAUGACCCCGUAGAGACUUAGUCCAAGAGGACUGGAGUUCGUCAAAUGCGACGAGCUAAUACGCCAACGCCUAUCUUAGUACGAUAGGAUGAAGAUAUAGUCCAUACUAUUAGUAAUAAUAGAUCAAUAGCGAUGUCGGCUCAUCACAUCCUGGGGCUGAAGAAGGUCCCAAGGGUUUGGCUGUUCGCCAAUUAAAGUGGUUCGUGAGCUGGGUUCAAACCGUCAAUUUGGCGGCUUUCCAGAGCAAUCUGGUUAGCAAAACCGACUCAUAUCGGUGAAGUCCUAUCAUUGAUUUUCAACCUGUCAAAUGGUAGGAUAAUACCGAGGGAAGUUGUAAGUUUGAACUUAUGAGAAAAGUAGAUAAAGAAUGCUAAGAUUUUAUAGCUCUUUAUUGUUAGAAAUAUCUCAUAAGUAAAAAUUUAUUAACCCCGUAGAGACUGAGCUUUUUAUAAAGCGAGAGUCAUUCUUUAUAAGAAUGGCUAAUACGUCGGUCUCCUGUUUUAAAUCAACAGGAUGGUGGUAUAGUCCAUGCACUUAGUAAUAGGUGAUUAACAUGCGUAAGACAGGUUGGUCCAUAUCUACCACAGGCGUCGAGUUUUGAGGAGAGUUGCCCUUUGUACGAGAGGAUCAGGGUGAACCAACCUCUGGUGUAUCAGUUGUCCUGCCAAGGGCAUAGCUGAGUAGCUAAGUUGGGAAAGGAUAAGAGCUGAAAGCAUCUAAGCUCGAAGCCUACUCCAAGAUUAGAACUCUUACCCAGGUUAAAGACUAUGACCUUGAUAGGGUGCAGGUGCAAGCUCCGUGAGGAGUUCAGCCGAGCACUACUAAUUGG
rnacentral:rRNA from 1 species